GAUAGUUACCUGGUUGAUUCUGCCAGUAGUCAUAUGCUUGUCUCAAAGAUUAAGCCAUGCAUGUCUAAGUAUAAGCAACUAUACGGUGAAACUGCGAAUGGCUCAUUAUAUCAGUUAUCGUUUAUUUGAUAGUACCUUACUACAUGGGAUAACCGUGGUAAUUCUAGAGCUAAUACAUGCUAAAAACCUCGACUUCGGAAGGGGUGUAUUUAUUAGAUAAAAAACCAAUGCCCUUCGGGGCUCCUUGGUGAUUCAUAAUAACUUAACGAAUCGCAUGGCCUUGCGCCGGCGAUGGUUCAUUCAAAUUUCUGCCCUAUCAACUUUCGAUGGUACUUUAGUGGCUACCAUGGUUUCUACGGGUAACGGGGAAUUAGGGUUCGACUCCGGAGAGGGAGCCUGAGAAACGGCUACCACAUCCAAGGAAGGCAGCAGGCGCGCAAAUUACCCAAUCCCGAUUCGGGGAGGUAGUGACAAUAAAUACUGAUAGGGAGCUCUUUUGGGUUUCCUAAUCGGAAUGAGUACAAUUUAAAUCCCUUAACGAGGAACAAUUGGAGGGCAAGUCUGGUGCCAGCAGCCGCGGUAAUUCCAGCUCCAAUAGCGUAUAUUAAAGUUGUUGCAGUUAAAAAGCUCGUAGUUGAAACUUGGGUCUGGCUGUCCGGUCCGCCUCACCGCGUGCACUGGUUCGGCCGGACCUUUCCUUCUGGGGAGCCGCAUGCCCUUUAUUGGGUGUGCCGGGGAACCAGGACUUUUACUUUGAAAAAAUUAGAGUGUUCAAAGCAGGCAUAUGCUCGAAUACAUUAGCAUGGAAUAAUAGAAUAGGACGUGUGGUUCUAUUUUGUUGGUUUCUAGGACCGCCGUAAUGAUUAAUAGGGAUAGUCGGGGGCAUCUGGUAAGUUUUUUCGCGUGAUUUAUGAGUGAAGUAUUGCUAACGUCUAUUGCAGUAUUUUCCAGCAAGAGGUGAAAUUCUUGGAUUUGGAAAAGACAAACUACUGCGAAAGCAUUUGCCAAGGAUGUUUUCAUUAAUCAGGGAACGAAAGUUAGGGGAUCGAAGACGAUCAGAUACCGUCGUAGUCUUAACCAUAAACUAUGCCGACUAGGGAUCGGACGGUGUUAUUAUUUUGACCCGUUCGGCACCUUACGAGAAAUCAAAGUUUUUGGGUUCUGGGGGGAGUAUGGUCGCAAGGCUGAAACUUAAAGACAUUGACGGAAGGGCACCACCAGGCGUGGAGCCUGCGGCUUAAUUUGACUCAACACGGGGAAACUCACCAGGUCCAGAUUUGAUAAGGAUUGACAGAUUGAGAGCUCUUUCUUGAUUUCAAAGGUGGUGGUGCAUGGCCGUUCUUAGUUGGUGGAGUGAUUUGUCUGCUUAAUUGCGAUAACGAACGAGACCUUAACCUGCUAAAUAGCCAGGUCAGCUUUGGCUGGCCGCAGGCUUCUUAGAGGGACUAUCGGCUCAAGCCGAUGGAAGUUUGAGGCAAUAACAGGUCUGUGAUGCCCUUUAGAUGUUCUGGGCCGCACGCGCGCUACACUGACAGAGACAACGAGUUCAUCUCCUUGGCCGGAAGGUCUGGGUAAUCUUGUUAAACUCUGUCGUGCUGGGGAUAGAGCAUUGCAAUUAUUGCUCUUCAACGAGGAAUGCCUAGUAAGCGCAAGUCAUCAGCUUGCGUUGAUUACGUCCCUGCCCUUUGUACACACCGCCCGUCGCUACUACCGAUUGAAUGGCUCAGUGAGGCCUUCGGACUGGCCCCAGGAGGUCGGCAACGACCACCCAGGGCCGGAAAGUUGGUCAAACUUGGUCAUUUAGAGGAAGUAAAAGUCGUAACAAGGUUUCCGUAGGUGAUGCGGAACCUGCGGAAGGAUCAUUA
rnacentral:rRNA from 1 species